GAUGAACGCUGGCGGCGUGCCUAAUACAUGCAAGUCGAGCGAACGGACGAGAAGCUUGCUUCUCUGAUGUUAGCGGCGGACGGGUGAGUAACACGUGGAUAACCUACCUAUAAGACCGGGAUAACUUCGGGAAACCGGAGCUAAUACCGGAUAAUAUUAUGAACCGCAUGGUUCAAAAGUGAAAGACGGUCUUGCUGUCACUUAUAGAUGGAUCCGCGCUGCAUUAGCUAGUUGGUAAGGUAACGGCUUACCAAGGCAACGAUGCAUAGCCGACCUGAGAGGGUGAUCGGCCACACUGGAACUGAGACACGGUCCAGACUCCUACGGGAGGCAGCAGUAGGGAAUCUUCCGCAAUGGGCGAAAGCCUGACGGAGCAACGCCGCGUGAGUGAUGAAGGUCUUCGGAUCGUAAAACUCUGUUAUUAGGGAAGAACAUAUGUGUAAGUAACUGUGCACAUCUUGACGGUACCUAAUCAGAAAGCCACGGCUAACUACGUG
rnacentral:rRNA from 1 species